AUGAUCCACUUAAAACUUCCUAAGCACUACAGAAUCAACACAAACCCUGCUUCUUUUACAUCCCUGAUCAUGAAUCCACCAUCAAUUUCCUCAGAUUUUAUCCCUAAUAUACCUCAAUCUACUCCAAACGAAACCCUAAGAACCUCGACAACGGUGGACGUUCGGCCUACCUCGACAACAACGGAGAAGGUGAAGUUGUGGUCUGGUGAAGAUUAA